rnacentral:rRNA from 1 species
AUUGAACGCUGGCGGCAGGCUUAACACAUGCAAGUCGAGCGGGGGAAGGUAGCUUGCUACUGGACCUAGCGGCGGACGGGUGAGUAAUGCUUAGGAAUCUGCCUAUUAGUGGGGGACAACAUCUCGAAAGGGAUGCUAAUACCGCAUACGUCCUACGGGAGAAAGCAGGGGAUCUUCGGACCUUGCGCUAAUAGAUGACACGAAGUCGGAUUAGCUAGUUGGUGGGGUAAAGGCCUACCAAGGCGCCGAUCUGUAGCGGGUCUGAGAGGAUGAUCCGCCACACUGGGACUGAGACACGGCCCAGACUCCUACGGGAGGCAGCAGUGGGGAAUAUUGGACAAUGGGGGGAACCCUGAUCCAGCCAUGCCGCGUGUGUGAAGAAGGCCUUAUGGUUGUAAAGCACUUUAAGCGAGGAGGAGGCUACUCUAGUUAAUACCUAGGGAUAGUGGACGUUACUCGCAGAAUAAGCACCGGCUAACUCUGUGCCAGCCGCCGCAGUAA